rnacentral:rRNA from 1 species
GUGAACCUGCGGAAGGAUCAUUAACGAAUAUAAAUCGGAAAGCUGUCGCUGGCCUCUCGGGGCAUGUGCACGCUGACCGUGUUUCAAAAAUUUCUCACCUGUGAACCUAAUGUAGGAUGCCUCUCCUCURGGAGAGGGGACCUAUGUCUUCAUAUACAUCUUCGUGUAGAAAGUCUUAGAAUGUUUACUAUCAGAGAGUCGCGACUUCUAGGAGACGCGAAACUCUGAGAUAAAAGUUAUUACAACUUUCAGCAAUGGAUCUCUUGGCUCUCGCAUCGAUGAAGAAC